UACACAUGUAUUAAUUAUAUAAAAGUUUAUUUAUAUUAUAUAAUAAAAUGAAUAUUUAGGUGAAAGUAUUUAUUAAAGUAUUUUUUAGGUAGAUUGAUUAAUAAAUUACAUCGCGUAUUAUAGAAUAUAUAUGACGUGGAACUGGACAAUAUAAUUUAAAAAUGAUUAUACUUUUAAUAAUUAUAGAGUUUAUUUUAGACAUGCCUCUAUAUGUUCUAUUUAUAUUCAUUUUAUAAGCACACUAAAGCUAAUUUAAUGUUCGAGGAAAUAUUUUAUUAAUGUCGGUUUAAUAAUUCAAAU
rnacentral:rRNA from 1 species